UACGUAGGCAGCGAGCGUUGUUCGGAGUUACUGGGCGUAAAGGGUGUGUAGGCGGUUGUUUAAGUUUGGUGUGAAAUCUCCCGGCUCAACUGGGAGGGUGCGCCGAAUACUGAGUGACUAGAGUGCGGGAGAGGAAAGUGGGAAUUCCUGGUGUAGCGGUGAAAUGCGUAGAUAUCAGGAGGAACACCGGUGGUGUAGACGGCUUUCGUGGACCGUAACUGACGCUGAAACACGAAAGCGUGGGUAGCAAACAGG
rnacentral:rRNA from 1 species